UAACCUCAUUGUUGUUGCCGGGAUUCUAUUUGCAAUUCGCCAAAAGAGUAUAUAUUCAUUUUCAUCAUCCUCAUAGAUCAUAUUUUUCAAUUUUUUUCUUUUCAUCACUCCAUUAAUGGAGCAGAGUACGUGAAGGCAAAAUCAAAUUGGCUACUGAAAAUUCGUGGGCAACCCCGGCAAGAAGGUUUAGCUUUCGGAGUCCAAGAUCCAACAGCUCUGCUUGAUUUCCAGAGACAUUUUCUUGCAACAGCCAGAUUUAUGGGAUCUCCAAUCUUUCAUUUAGAUUUGUGGUACUCUAACUUCUUGCAAUCCCUGACACUACAGCUUUCUUUCUUCAUAACAAGUGAAUAUGUACACUUUUGUGCACCCCUUACUCUACUGCUUUCUUUCUUGCAAUCCCUUUUGUUUCGGUCUUCUUCCUUUCUUUUUGAAGUCGGCAUUUGAUUGAUUUGUUAUUGCAUUUAUUUUUUAUUUUAGUUUUUUCUAAUAGUGAUUUUAUAGUCUUUUAAUUUGAGAGUGACAUUACUAUUAUUUGUUUAAUAUGUUUUUCAACCAUAUUUUAAAAUCUUGAUUUUCAUUUCAUAUCACUUCUCUAGAAUCGUAUUUUUCCAAUACAUUAUUGACUAAGAUUUGGUAACUUCUACUGUUUAUGAUACACGGUUCGGUAUCUCCUUUUUGAGUUUUGAUAAUGAAAUUUGGUAAAUAUUUUGAUUUUAACUGUUUAUGUGAUCUUUUCAUAUCUUUAUCAUUAUCAUAACCUCAGAAAAAAGAAAAUAAUAUCACCACAGAAGCAAGGAGGUGAAGAAACCAUGAUGGCAAUUCUGAGUGUAAUAAUUGAAAGAGAAGGGAGGAAUUGGAGAAAGAAGGUGGUGGUUUAGGUUCACAUUCCUCCUUGCAAGGCCUUCUCUGGCAUAGUGGUUCAGCUUAUGGUGCUUGGUUCAGUUGUGCCUCAAAUAAGGUAUAUAUGAUGGAUAUGAAUGAAUUCACAAAUUGAGACAAUUUCAUUUCAUAAAUAACAAAUUAUUAGUUUAGUGCCUUCAUUGCCAUACUCUAUUGUGGCAUAUCUUUUGGGGUGCAUUAAAACAUGCGAAUGGAAUUGAAGGCGGAUCAACAAUUGUUGUUAGAGUAAUAGCAUGCUUUCAACCCUUGAACAAUUGUCAGGAAAAGUCAAUGACAGCUUUGGAUGAACAAAUGUGUCAAUCUGUGGUGAUAAUGUUGGAAAGAUUAUGCGCGACGAACCAUUCACUGUAUGCAGUUUGUAUGCCUUCCAUAUGUGCAAGCCUUGCUACGAGGAUGACAGGAAGGAUGGAACCAGGACUACCUCAUGCCAUUCACUGUAUUUACCAUUCUUUUCAUUCAUAUGUUGCAACUGUGCUAAAGAUUUUUAGCAUUAUAAGAUGUUUUAAAUAUUUAAUAAAUUACUUUUAAAAAAUAGAGCGAUUGUGUUUCAAA